rnacentral:rRNA from 1 species
CCUACGGGGGGCAGCAGUGGGGGAUAUUGCACAAUGGGGGAAACCCUGAUGCAGCGACGCCGCGUGUGGGAAGACGGUCCUCUGGAUUGUAAACCACUGUCCCCAGGGACGAAGAUGACGGUACCGGGGGAGGAAGCGCCGGCUAACUACGUGCCAGCAGCCGCGGUAAUACGUAGGGAGCGAGCGUUGUCCGGAAGUACUGGGUGUAAAGGGAGCGGAGGCGGGACUGCAAGUUGGGUGUCAAAUCUACCGGCGCAACCGGUAGCCGCACUCCAAACUGCAGUUCUUGAGUGAAGUAGAGGCAGGCGGAAUUCCUAGUGUAGCGGUGACCUGCGUAGAUAUUAGGCGGCACACCAGUGGCGACGGCGGCCUGCUGGGCUUUUCCUGACGCUGCGGCUCGACCGUGUGGGGAGCAAACAGGAUUCGCUACCCGUGUAGUC